rnacentral:rRNA from 1 species
AUGAUUUCCUCGACGGCGACAACACCUUGCACAUUGUCGUCCGCCCUCCCCGGGUCACCACACCUGCACCCCCAUCACCGCGCACCCCACCCUCGUCGCACGCCCCUCCAGCGCCUAUUCAUCGCACGCGCAGCACCUCCGACAUCCAUAAGGUACUCACCGGUUCCUACCUCUGCCCGUCCUGCUCUCAAGGAUCCCAACUGGCUUGAUGCAAUGACCGCGGAAUACCGCACACUCCUCAGCAACAACACUUGGAAUCUUGUGCCACCGCCUCAGAACGCCAAUAUCUUCUCCAGCAAGUGGGUGUUUCGCCACAAGCUCAAGCCCGACGGCUCCCUCGACCGCUACAAAGCACAUUGA